rnacentral:rRNA from 1 species
UACGUAGGGGGCAAGCGUUGUCCGGAAUCAUUGGGCGUAAAGCGCGUGUAGGCGGCUCGAUAAGUCUGCUGUGAAAGUCCAGGGCUCAACCCUGGGAUGCCGGUGGAUACUGUCGAGCUCGAGUCCGGAAGAGGAGUGUGGAAUUCCUGGUGUAGCGGUGAAAUGCGCAGAUAUCAGGAGGAACACCGAUAGCGAAGGCAGCACUCUGGUACGUGACUGACGCUGAGAAGCGAAAGCAUGGGGAGCGAACAGG